rnacentral:rRNA from 1 species
AUUGAACGCUGGCGGCAUGCCUAACACAUGCAAGUCGAGCGAGCGGCGGACGGGUGAGUCAUGCCUGGGAAUUCCCCAGUCGAGGGUGCUCACCGUUGGAACCGACUUCUACUACCUCAUCCGAUUGUCUUGCCCCGGUGGGAUUCGCUCGUUGGUGAGGUAAUGGCUCCACAAGGCGCAGAUCCCUAGCUGGUCUGAGAGUAUGAUCAGCCACUUGGGAACUUAGACACGGUCCAGAAUCUGACGGGAGGCAGCAGGGGGGAAUAUUGCAAAAGGGGGGAAACCCUGAUGCAGCCAUGCCGCGUGUGUGAAGAAGGCCUUCGGGUUGUAAAGCACUUUAAGCGAGGAGGCGUUACUCGCAGAAGAAGCACCGGCUAACUCCGUGCCAGCAGCCGCGGUAAUAC